GGGAAAAGUAAAUAUUAUUAGUUUAAUAGUUAUUGUUAGAUUUAUUAUUAAAAUUUAAAUUUUUAGGUGAAAUUUUAUUUUUUUUAUAAUUAUGUUGGAAGAAGCUAUGAAAUUUAUUUAACAAACAAGGAUUAGAUACCCUUUUAUUGUAAAUGUAAAAUUUUAACUAGGGUAGUAAUAGUUAUGUUCUUGAAACCCAAAGAAUUUGGCGGUAUUUUAGUCCUUUCAGAGGAAUCUGUCCCGUAAUCGACAGCCCMCGAGAUAAUGUACUUAUUCUUGUAUUCAGUUUGUAUACCUCCGUCAUAAGAAGAUCUUUUUAGAGAUAAAAUUUUCUUAAUAUAUUAAGUAUAGUAUGUCAGGUCAAGGUGCAAUUUAUGGAUAAGUGGAGAUGGAUUACAAUAAAUUUAUUUAAAUGGAUUAAAUUAUUUAAUUUUUUAUGAAGGUGGAUUUGAUAGUAAUUUUAAUUAUUUAUUAUUAUGAUUUUGGCUCUAAAAUAUGCACACAUCGCCCGUCGCUCUCAUUUCUAAAAUGAGAURAGUCGUAACAUAGUAGGUGUAUCGGAAGAUGUACCUAGUAWGU
rnacentral:rRNA from 1 species